rnacentral:rRNA from 1 species
UACGUAGGGGGCAAGCGUUGUCCGGAUUUAUUGGGCGUAAAGGGCGUGUAGGCGGCCAAACAGGUCAGCUGUGAAAACUCGAGGCUCAACCUCGAGACGUCGGUUGAAACCGUUUGGCUAGAGUCCGGGAGAGGAGAGUGGAAUUCCCGGUGUAGCGGUGAAAUGCGCAGAUAUCGGGAAGAACACCCGUGGCGAAGGCGGCUCUCUGGGACGGUACUGACGCUGAGACGCGAAAGCGUGGGGAGCAAACAGG